rnacentral:rRNA from 1 species
CAGCCGCCGCGGUAAUACGUAGGUGGCAAGCGUUGUCCGGAAUUAUUGGGCGUAAAGGGCUCGCAGGCGGUUUCUUAAGUCUGAUGUGAAAGCCCCCGGCUCAACCGGGGAGGGUCAUUGGAAACUGGGAAACUUGAGUGCAGAAGAGGAGAGUGGAAUUCCACGUGUAGCGGUGAAAUGCGUAGAGAUGUGGAGGAACACCAGAGGCGAAGGCGACUCUCUGGUCUGUAACUGACGCUGAGGAGCGAAAGCGUGGGGAGCGAACAGGAUUAGAUACCCCUGUAGUCCCUGUCUCUUAUAC